CGAGAGAGGAGGGGGCUUUGAAGCAACUUGAGCUAAUCUGAUUCAUCCCUCAAAUUAUCUGUGUUCCUCAGGACUGCCUGCCUGAUGCCGUGGUCUUGCUGAGCCCUUGCCGACCCUUGGCAGCGAGGCUGUGCCAAGCAGGAGGAUUGCAAUGAACCUCUUCCCAUGCCCCAAAUGCUGAGUGUGGCAAAACCCUCUGGGAGGGUAACACAGGUUCAAUGCUCCUGGAGCCCUGCCUUGGGAACACUCUCUAGCAUAUUUAGCUGAUAAUGUUUAACUGGAUCCAGGGGAACAAUGACACCUAAUCCAUGUGAGAUUUAAGGAGCAAGAGAUUCCCUCUGAUCUAGAAUAUUCCUAUUGCUUAUAGCUC
rnacentral:lncRNA from 1 species